rnacentral:rRNA from 1 species
UACGUAGGGGGCAAGCGUUGUCCGGAUUUACUGGGCGUAAAGGGCGUGCAGGCGGUCUGUUAAGUCUAGGGUGAAAGCUCCCGGCUCAACUGGGAGAGGUCCUUGGAUACUGGCGGACUUGAGGGAGGUAGAGGAAAGUGGAAUUCCCGGUGUAGUGGUGAUAUGCGUAGAUAUCGGCAGGAACACCCAGGGGGAAACCAGUGGACUGGGCAUGUGCUGACGCUCAGGUGCGAAAGCGUGGGGAGCGAACCGG